rnacentral:misc_RNA from 1 species
GGAAAGCUAUUAACUGUUAAUGUGUAGCAUUUGCUAUAAAGUGUUGGUGAUAAUAUAGAAAUGUGGAUUUUAUAAAACUUUUCCCGAUUUUUUUAGUCCUAAAACAGCAAUUUUGGAAUCCUUGUUUUAGUUUUGUUUAUCGGAACAUUUGAAUAUUGGUGAUAACAGUGUGUGUAAAAUUGUAUGAUGCUGUCUGAAUUAUUAAAGGGGAAAAUAUUUUGAUUAGACAGGUAAAAGAAAUAAAAUGAAUCUCAUAAU